AUCCUUUCCAAGUUAGUUGUUAAAUUAAGUAUUGAUCGUUUUGGUUCUCGAUAAGAGAAGAACGUAGGGUGAGCGAUGGCUCUUCGAUGAUUUAGGCUCGAUUUUUAAUCUGCUGUUUUCUUAAGGGCUUCAGAAGAGUGUCGUGGUAUCUGCAUCAGGAAAAUACGCAAGUUUGUGAUUGUAACCUGAGUUGUCACUCGAAAUUUGAAAAAUUCACUAAA